CAGGUGUAUGGCGGGUCUGUGCACGUACCGGAUAUGCUUCCGCUGGUACCCGGGCGUGACAUAAUGUGAUGAUAAUAAUAUAAUGUUGCAUGAUGUGAGUACACGUGCUUAUUAGAAUGAUUAAGAAUCUAAAUAAUUUAUGUGUAUGCAUGAGAUGUAAUGUGAGAACCUAAUGAUAAUGGCUUGAGACAAGGCAAAGCAAUGUGAUGUAAAGAAUAAUGAUAAUGGCUAAAGGCGAUGUAAAGUAAUGUGGCAUAAAGAACAAGCAAAGUGUAAAGAACAAUGAUAAUG
rnacentral:lncRNA from 1 species